AAAUAUUUCAAAAACAAAAGAGAAAAAACAAAAGUUUCAUGGCACACUUGAUUUUUCCGAUCUUGAACCUUCUACUCUCGAACUACUUGUAGUCUUUCGAGUAUCUCCAUGGUUAAACUCAUUGGUAUCUUCUGUGGUACCUACAAUUUACAAUGAAAUUUAAUUAAUAUAAUUCAAUUACCUAUAAAGCUUUCAAUUUAAAACUCUUACCUUCAUAGUCAACAAACUUGCGUAGCCAAUUGCGAGUACAAAGCAAACAUGAACAUUUUCUGGAAGCAAGCGAUUUCUAUAUGGAGUCAAAACCCUCGAUCCAAUGCUAAAAGCUGAGUUUGAUGCUACUUUAGUAAUAGGAAUGCUAAGGACAUCGCAUGUCAUAGAAGCUAAACCGCCAAAUCGAUUCUGAUUAUCUUUCCAAUAGCUUAAGACAUCCAAAUUUCGAAAAAGACUUUCACUCUCAUCCAAAUAAAUAUCCAAGUGUGUCUUUGUGUUGUUCACACCGUCUUCAAUACUUCUUUCUAGUUCAAAUAGAUCUUAUGUUACAAAAACUCACAUUAAGUUAAUUCACCAAGUUCCAACUUUAUACAAUAUCAUCAAAUUCUUCUCGAGCCCUUUAAUUUUUAACUUAUAAGUAGUAGAAUUUACUUUCUUUUAAGCUACUUCAAGCAUCUUCAAUUUAAGCUUCGGAUCCAAAACUGCUCUCAUAGCCAAAAUGAGACUAUAAUCUUCCCAAUACUCGGAAAAUUUACCAUGCAUCUCUUGAGCCACUUGCUCAACAACAUCAUCAUCACAAAUAGCAUACUUCUUCAGCAACAACUCAAUCCUCCAUAUUUGUGUAAAGUAUACAUUGGAUGUGGGAUACUUAGAGCCUAAAAAGUAAGUGAUAAUAACACUAAAAGGUUUCAAUAGAUCAAAAAUUUAUCAUUGGUAUCAAAAGCUUUCAUGCUAACAAACGCUUCUCUAAACUUCAACGCUCUAGCAAGCAUUUCAUCUUUCUACAUGCCAUGUUCAUAUUCCGAACAAAAAAAUUGCAUUCAAACGAUUAAAAGAAAGAAAAAAAAUUGGUAUGCCCGAAUUUUUUGUUGAAUAAUUACAAACUUUAUUUUUGCAUUCGAACUUAUUUUUCCCCAAAAUUGCUAAAUCAAAGAAGCAUCAGAACAAUGAAGUUUAUAUGUGAUAUGUUUGUCUUUUGUUUUGAUUGAAUUUCUUCUUCAUUCUUUUUUUGCAUUAU
rnacentral:sRNA from 1 species